rnacentral:lncRNA from 1 species
AAUGAGAUCACCUGCAGAACGUCUAUACUGCCGCGUAGUGUUGCUAUGAUGAAAUGAAACAUGGCUCUCCUCAGUGGGCCAUGUUUCCUGUAGAUGGCACUGUAUGGUCAGAAAUGAGAGGUGAGCGCUGACGCUGUUGAAAGGGAUGGAGCAGACGGCUGCGUUACAUUGUGUUGGUUCCUCAGCAUUGGAUGUCUGGCUGUUUCAUAUAGCGUAGGUCAGCUGAGGUAAACUCACUCGGAUCAGUAGGGAAGAAAAUCUGUAAGUGUUUAAAGGGUAUUUUUGGACGACUCCAUGGCAUUGUAAUAUAUCGAGAAUUCAUAGGCUACGUCUAUAGGGUAAAUUACACAAUUAAAUAGAACCGUUUGAUAUUAUAUCUUUAUGGGGGAAACCGUACCACAUUCCUGCAGGUCAUAUAAGGUAAAGGCUAACACAUGGCUAACAUAAGACAUCAAAGAACAGGAUAGUGAUGAUAGUGCUCCAGUUUCCCUCUCUCUCCUGGUGGAUGAUAGUGAUGAUAUUUCCCUCUCUCUCCUGGUGGAGGAUAGUGCUCCAGUUUCCCUCUCUCUCCUGUUGGAUGAUAGUGAUGAUAGUGCUCCAGUUUCCCUCUCUCUCCUGGUGGAGGAUAGUGAUGAUAGUGCUCCAGUUUCCCUCUCUCUCCUGGUGGAGGAUAGUGCUCCAGUUUCCCUCUCUCUCCUGGUGGAGGAUAGUGCUCCA